CUGCCCUAUGGUGUGGUAUAGACAGGUUCUCAUCUUUCUACUACUGCCCUAUGGUAUAGACAGGUUAUCAUUUUCCUACUACUGCCCUAUGGUGUGGUAUAGACAGGUUCUCAUCUUCCUACUACUGCCCUAUGGUAUAGACAGGUUCUCAUCUUCCUACUACUGUCCUAUGGUAUAGACAGGUUCUCAUCUUCCUACUACUGUCCUGUGGUGUGGUAUAGACAGGUUCUCAUCUUCCUACUACUGUCCUGUGGUGUGGUAUAGACAGGUUCCCAUCUUCCUACUACUGUCCUGUGGUGUGGUAUAGACAGGUUCUCAUCUUCCUACUACUGUCCUGUGGUGUGGUAUAGACAGGUUCUCAUCUUCCUACUGCUGCCCUAUGGUAUAGACAGGUUCUCAUCUUCCUACUACUGUCCUAUGGUAUAGACAGGUUCUCAUCUUCCUACUACUGUCCUAUGGUGUGGUAUAGACAGGUUCUCAUCUUCCUACUACUGCCAUAUGGUAUAGACAGGUUCUCAUCUUCCUACUACUGUCCUGUGGUAUAGACAGGUUCUCAUCUUCCUACUACUGUCCUGUGGUGUGGUAUAGACAGGUUCUCAUCUUCCUACUACUGCCAUAUGGUGUGGUAUAGACAGGUUCUCAUCUUCCUACUACUGUCCUGUGGUAUAGACAGGUUCUCAUCUUCCUACUACUGCCAUAUGGUGUGGUAUAGACAGGUUCUCAUCUUCUUACUACUGUCCUAUGGUGUGGUAUAGACAGGUUCUCAUCUUUCUACUACUGCCCUAUGGUAUAGACAGGUUCUCAUCUUCCUACUACUGCCCUAUGGUGUGUUAUAGACAGGUUCUCAUCUUCCUACUACUGUCCUAUGGUAUAGACAGGUUCUCAUCUUCCUACUACUGUCCUGUGGUAUAGACAGGUUCUCAUCUUCCUACUGCUGCCCUGUGGUAUAAACAGGUUCCCAUCUUCCUACUACUGCCCUGUGGUAUAGACAGGUUCUCAUCUUCCUACUACUGUCCUGUGGUGUGACAUAGACAGGUUCUCAUCUUCCUACUACUGUCCUGUGGUGUGGUAUAGACAGGUUCCCAUCUUCCUACUACUGUCCUGUGGUGUGGUAUAGACAGGUUCUCAUCUUCCUACUACUGUCCUAUGGUAUAGACAGGUUCUCAUCUUCCUACUACUGCCCUGCCCUGCGGUAUAGACAGGUUCUCAUCUUCCUACUACUGCCCUGUCCUGUGGUAUAGACAGGUUCUCAUCUUCCUACUACUGCCCUAUGGUGUGGUAUAGACAGGUUCUCAUCUUCCUACUACUGUCCUGUGGUGUGGUAUAGACAGGUUCUCAUCUUCCUACUACUGCCCUGUCCUGUGGUAUAGACAGGUUCUCAUCUUCCUACUACUGUCCUAUGGUGUGGUAUAGACAGGUUCUCAUCUUCCUACUACUGCCCUAUGGUAUAGACAGGUUCUCAUCUUCCUACUACUGUCCUAUGGUAUAGACAGGUUCUCAUCUUCCUACUACUGUCCUAUGGUGUGGUAUAGACAGGUUCUCAUCUUCCUACUACUGUCCUGUCCUGUGGUAUAGACAGGUUCUCAUCUUCCUACUGCUGUCCUGUCUUGUGGUAUAGACAGGUUCUCAUCUUCCUACUACUGCCCUAUGGUAUAGACAGGUUCUCAUCUUCCUACUGCUGUCCUGUGGUAUAGACAGGUUCUCAUCUUCCUACUACUGUCCUAUGGUGUGGUAUAGACAGGUUCUCAUCUUCCUACUACUGUCCUGUCCUGUGGUAUAGACAGGUUCUCAUCUUCCUACUGCUGUCCUGUCUUGUGGUAUAGACAGGUUCUCAUCUUCCUACUACUGCCCUAUGGUAUAGACAGGUUCUCAUCUUCCUACUGCUGUCCUGUGGUAUAGACAGGUUCUCAUCUUCCUACUACUGCCCUAUGGUGUGGUAUAGACAGGUUCUCAUCUUCCUACUACUGUCCUAUGGUAUAGACAGGUUCUCAUCUUCCUACUGCUGUCUUGUGGUGUGGUAUAGACAGGUUCUCAUCUUCCUACUACUGUCCUGUGGUGUGGUAUAGACAGGUUCUCAUCUUCCUACUACUGCCAUAUGGUGUGGUAUAGACAGGUUCUCAUCUUCCUACUACUGCCCUAUGGUGUGGUAUAGACAGGUUCUCAUCUUCCUACUACUGUCCUAUGGUAUAGACAGGUUCUCAUCUUCCUACUACUGUCCUGUGGUAUAGACAGGUUCUCAUCUUCCUACUGCUGCCCUGUGGUAUAAACAGGUUCCCAUCUUCCUACUACUGCCCUGUGGUAUAGACAGGUUCUCAUCUUCCUACUACUGUCCUGUGGUGUGGCAUAGACAGGUUCUCAUCUUCCUACUACUGUCCUGUGGUGUGGUAUAGACAGGUUCCCAUCUUCCUACUACUGUCCUGUGGUGUGGUAUAGACAGGUUCUCAUCUUCCUACUACUGUCCUAUGGUAUAGACAGGUUCUCAUCUUCCUACUACUGUCCUGUGGUGUGGUAUAGACAGGUUCUCAUCUUCCUACUACUGCCCUGUCCUGUGGUAUAGACAGGUUCUCAUCUUCCUACUACUGCCCUAUGGUGUGGUAUAGACAGGUUCUCAUCUUCCUACUACUGUCCUGUGGUGUGGUAUAGACAGGUUCUCAUCUUCCUACUACUGCCCUGUCCUGUGGUAUAGACAGGUUCUCAUCUUCCUACUACUGUCCUAUGGUGUGGUAUAGACAGGUUCUCAUCUUCCUACUACUGCCCUGUCCUGUGGUAUAGACAGGUUCUCAUCUUCCUACUACUGCCCUGUGGUAUAGACAGGUUCUCAUCUUCCUACUACUGUCCUGUGGUGUGGUAUAGACAGGUUCUCAUCUUCCUACUACUGUCCUAUGGUGUGGUAUAGACAGGUUCUCAUCUUCCUACUACUGCCCUAUGGUGUGGUAUAGACAGGUUCUCAUCUUCCUACUACUGUCCUGUGGUAUAGACAGGUUCUCAUCUUCCUACUACUGCCCAAUGGUAUAGACAGGUUCUCAUCUUCCUCCUGCUGUCCUGUGGUGUGGUAUAGACAGGUUCUCAUCUUCCUACUGCUGUCCUGUGGUGUGGUAUAGACAGGUUCUCAUCUUCCUCCUGCUGUCCUAUGGUGUGGUAUAGACAGGUUCUCAUCUUCCUACUACUGCCCUAUGGUGUGGUAUAGACAGGUUCUCAUCUUCCUACUACUGUCCUGUGGUAUAGACAGGUUCUCAUCUUCCUACUACUGCCCAAUGGUAUAGACAGGUUCUCAUCUUCCUACUACUGCCCUAUGGUGUGGUAUAGACAGGUUCUCAUCUUCCUACUACUGCCCAAUGGUAUAGACAGGUUCUCAUCUUCCUCCUGCUGUCCUGUGGUGUGGUAUAGACAGGUUCUCAUCUUCCUACUGCUGUCCUGUGGUGUGGUAUAGACAGGUUCUCAUCUUCCUCCUGCUGUCCUAUGGUGUGGUAUAGACAGGUUCUCAUCUUCCUACUACUGCCCUAUGGUGUGGUAUAGACAGGUUCUCAUCUUCCUACUACUGUCCUGUGGUAUAGACAGGUUCUCAUCUUCCUACUACUGCCCAAUGGUAUAGACAGGUUCUCAUCUUCCUCCUGCUGUCCUGUGGUGUGGUAUAGACAGGUUCUCAUCUUCCUACUGCUGUCCUGUGGUGUGGUAUAGACAGGUUCUCAUCUUCCUACUGCUGUCCUGUGGUGUGGUAUAGACAGGUUCUCAUCUUCCUACUGCUGUCCUGUGGUGUGGUAUAGACAGGUUCUCAUCUUCCUACUGCUGUCCUGUGGUGUGGUAUAGACAGGUUCUCAUCUUUCUACUGCUGUCCUGUGGUGUGGUAUAGACAGGUUCUCAUCUUCCUACUGCUGUCCUGUGGUGUGGUAUAGACAGGUUCUCAUCUUCCUACUGCUGUCCUAUGGUGUGGUAUAGACAGGUUCUCAUCUUCCUACUACUGCUGCCCUAUGGUAUAGACAGGUUCUCAUCUUCCUACUACUGCCCUAUGGUGUGGUAUAGACAGGUUCUCAUCUUGCUACUACUGCUGCCCUAUGGUGUGGUAUAGACAGGUUCUCAUCUUCCUACUGCUGUCCUGUGGUGUGGUAUAGACAGGUUCUCAUCUUCCUACAGCCGUCCUGUGGUAUAGACAGGUUCUCAUCUUCCUACUACUGCCCUAUGGUAUAGACAGGUUCUCAUCUUCCUACUGCUGUCUUGUGGUAUAGACAGGUUCUCAUCUUCCUAUUGCUGUCCUGUGGUGUGGUAUAGACAGGUUCUCAUCUUCCUACUACUGCCCUGUGGUAUAGACAGGUUCUCAUCUUCCUACUACUGCCCUGUGGUAUAGACAGGUUCUCAUCUUCCUACUACUGCCCUGUGGUAUAGACAGGUUCUCAUCUUCCUACUACUGUCCUGUGGUAUAGACAGGUUCUCAUCUUCCUACUGCCCUGUCCUGUGGUAUAGACAGGUUCUCAUCUUCCUACUACUGUCCUAUGGUGUGGUAUAGACAGGUUCCCAUCUUCCUACUACUGCCCUGUCCUGUGGUAUAGACAGGUUCUCAUCUUCCUACUACUGUCCUGUGGUGUGGUAUAGACCAUCACAUCCAGACAAUACAACCGACCUCCUAGUUGUUUUACUGCAGGUGAACUGGUAUACGAGUUCACAACUCAUGUCUUACCACACUUUACCC